rnacentral:misc_RNA from 1 species
GCAGCCUCAAAAAUCACCAUCUCAGCCUUAUGGCGUAGACAACCCUCAAGAAAAUCAUAGAAAGGGCGGUCCCCUGUUUGUGUGUUAGCAGCUGACUCACGAAUAACCUGACUAGUAUAACGUAUCAAAAGGCAUUGGGCAAGUGGUGAGCGAACAGUUCCCCUGGUCAAACUGGUAACCAACUUACUGACAGCUAGUCGAUCAUUCUGUCGUAUCUGAUGGAGCAAUGCCACGGCAUGAAAUUGUACAAGGGCAGCUCUAGACUGCACAGCUUCCUGAACCUCAUUCCUCUUCACUAUCUCUGGGUUUGUCUGGAGUAAAUGGAUCCCACUAACCAAAGCUGCACUAGCAACUAC